GCACUCCAAGAGAAGAGCUCGUCGAGCACAUCCUUACCGACCUAGAUAAGGAGUUCACCCUCUUGGUCUCUGCUCUAGUUGUUAGGAUGGAGCUUGUCUCACUUGAUGAGCUGUACUCGCAGCUUCUCACUUUUGAGA
rnacentral:snoRNA from 1 species